UUAAGUUCAGCGGGUAGUCCUACCUGAUUUGAGAUCAAACGUUCAAAAGCUGUCCUCGCUGUGGAGGGACGUUUAUGAGCCCCAGCGAACCUCCAUCACUGAAGGUUACCUGGUGGGAAACCACAAGCGUAGAUAGUUAUCACACCCGUGAUGCCACCAAACACUGGCAAGCUGAUUCAUUUGAGAGGAGCCGACCGUAG
rnacentral:misc_RNA from 1 species